rnacentral:rRNA from 1 species
AGUGAACGCUGGCGGUAGGCCUAACACAUGCGAGUCGAACGGCAGCACAGGAGAGCUUGCUCUCUAGGUGGCGAGUGGCGGACGGGUGAGGAAUACAUCGGAAUCUGCCCAGUCGUGGGGGAUAACGUAGGGAAACUUACGCUAAUACCGCAUACGACCUUCGGGUGAAAGAGGGGGAUCGCAAGACCUCUCGCGAUUGGAUGAGCCGAUGUCGGAUUAGCUAGUUGGCGGGGUAAUGGCCCACCAAGGCGACGAUCCGUAGCUGGUCUGAGAGGAUGAUCAGCCACACUGGAACUGAGACACGGUCCAGACUCCUACGGGAGGCAGCAGUGGGGAAUAUUGGACAAUGGGCGCAAGCCUGAUCCAGCCAUACCGCGUGGGUGAAGAAGGCCUUCGGGUUGUAAAGCCCUUUUGUUGGGAAAGAAAUCUUUCAGGCUAAUACCCUGGGAGGAUGACGGUACCCAAAGAAUAAGCACCGGCUAACUUCGUG